UGACUUGUCAUUAUUGUAGACGAAUUGGUCAUAUUGCUCCUGCAUGUUUUACACGACAUAGACAUAUCACUCAAUCGCAUCAUUAUGAUAUGCCUAACACUCAAGGAACCAAAAUGGCAUGGGUACCUAAAACGCAUUAAUUUGUUUUGUAGGUGUGUAAGAAGGGAUCAAGUGUACUAUGGUACCUUGAUAGUGGAUGCUCCAAGCACAUGACGGGAG
rnacentral:lncRNA from 1 species